rnacentral:rRNA from 1 species
GUGCGGAAUUUUAGAUAAUGGAGGGAACUCUGAUCUAGCGACGCCGCGUGCAGGAAGAAGGUCUUCGGAUUGUAAACUGCUGUGGUAAGGGAAAAAUGCUAUGUAGAGUGGAAAGCUACAUAGAGGGAUGGUACCUUACUAGAAAGCCCCGGCUAACUACGUGCCAGCAGCCGCGGUAAUACGUAGGGGGCGAGCGUUACCCGGAAUUACUGGGCGUAAAGGGCGCGCAGGCUGUGCUGCAAGUCAGCUGUGAAAUGUCUGGGCUUAACCCGGGCAUGCGGUUGAGACUGCAGUGCUGGAGUGCUGUAGAGGCAAGUGGAAUUCCCAGUGUAGCGGUGAAAUGCGUAGAUAUUGGGAAGAACACCGGUGGCGAAGGCGACUUGCUGGGCAGCAACUGACGCUGAGGCGCGAAAGCCAGGGGAGCAAACGGGAUUAGAAACCCUGGUAGUCC